GGUUAAGCGACUAAGCGUACACGGUGGAUGCCCUGGCAGUCAGAGGCGAUGAAGGGCGUGCUAAUCUGCGAUAAGCGCCGGUAAGGUGAUAUGAACCGUUAUAACCGGCGAUACCCGAAUGGGGAAACCCAGUGUGAUUCGUCACACUAUCAUUAACUGAAUCCAUAGGUUAAUGAGGCGAACCGGGGGAACUGAAACAUCUAAGUACCCCGAGGAAAAGAAAUCAACCGAGAUUCCCCCAGUAGCGGCGAGCGAACGGGGAGGAGCCCAGAGCCUGAAUCAGCAUGUGUGUUAGUGGAAGCGUCUGGAAAGGCGCGCGAUACAGGGUGACAGCCCCGUACACAAAAGCGUAUGUGCUGUGAGCUCGAUGAGUAGGGCGGGACACGUGGUAUCCUGUCUGAAUAUGGGGGGACCAUCCUCCAAGGCUAAAUACUCCUGACUGACCGAUAGUGAACCAGUACCGUGAGGGAAAGGCGAAAAGAACCC
rnacentral:rRNA from 1 species